rnacentral:rRNA from 1 species
AGCCGCCGAAGGUGGGACAGAUGAUUGGGGUGAAGUCGUAACAAGGUAGCCGUAUCGGAAGGUGCGGCUGGAUCACCUCCUUU